rnacentral:misc_RNA from 1 species
UACAGUGCGGCGGUGGCGG